UCUCGGCAACGGAUAUCUCGGCUCUCGCAUCGAUGAAGAACGUAGCGAAAUGCGAUACUUGGUGUGAAUUGCAGAAUCCCGUGAACCAUCGAGUCUUUGAACGCAAGUUGCGCUUGAAGCCAUUAGGCUAAAGGCACGUCUGCCUGGGCGUCACCAUCGCGU
rnacentral:rRNA from 1 species